GGAGUCAGCCUGCUGCUGCUGCUGGGGUCUGUGCUCUUCUCCUGCUCCAGCCUGGGCCACAGAGUGCCUGAGUUUGCCCUUACAAAAAUAGAAGAGAGCGACAUAAAAGAUGACAGUGGGAAGGAGCCGGGGACAGAGGAUGACGCUGAUCCUGAAGACCUGGAAGUGUUUUACCCCACAGAUCAGUGGCAAACCCUGCCUCCAGGUCAGGCGGUUCCUGCAGGGUCACACAUGCGGCUGAAC